rnacentral:rRNA from 1 species
AAAAUCUAGAUAGUGCCUUGUGACCUUUAAGUGUGCAUACAUACAUAUAUACAUAUUUAGUAAUUUGGAGUGCAUAAUUUCAAAAGGGAAACAAGU